rnacentral:tRNA from 2 species
GGCGAGAUGGCCGAGCGGUCUAAGGCGCUGUGUUAAGGUGAACAUUGCUCAUCUCCGCAGUCUUCGGACGUGGGUUCGAAUCCCACUCUCGUCA